GUAAAUAUUGAUCUCGUGGAUUACAGAAACUCAACCUACAAGGAAAGAUUUGCUAACUUGCAGAACCUAGUCCUUAUUAUGUUUGAGCAAGACACUGUGUUGAUACCAAAGGAAACAUCCUAGUUCGUAUACUAUCUAGAUGAAACUUUUGAUACUGUUUUGCCUACCCAGGAGGUAAUUACUGCAUUAACUUGAAAUGCAGUUAUCAGUGUCUUUAUCGGUGCCAUUGAAUCAUGGUAAUUUUGGGUGAUACUGAUGGUCGCUGAAAAGCAGCGAUAAAGUAUUUAUGGUGGAUGAGGGUGGAAUCUCCUUGUGGUUCAGAAAGCAUGCAUUUUGAAAGAUUCCAUUCUUUUGAGAUUAUUUCCUGUCGUCAAACCGAUUCCAUAAUUAAGAAUUUGCUUGAGGACUUGCACGCACAUAAAUAUGUUAAAAAUCAAGGGUGUAAAAUAUAUAAAAUCUCUGGUAACAUUGAUAUUGACUUGGAAUCAACUUGUUUUAUUGCACUUUGCGCAGUCAACCAAGAAAUGUAACAGAGAACAAGCUGAAACAUUUUCUAAGCCCUAGAUAUGAAUGAUUAACCAUGUUGAAA